ACAUCCAGAGAAUUUAGCAGAGAUGCUUUAGUGCCUUCGGGAACUCUGAGACAGGUGCUGCAUGGCUGUCGUCAGCUCGUGUUGUGAAAUGUUGGGUUAAGUCCCGNAACGAGCGCAACCCUUAUCCUUUGUUGCCAGCGCGUAAUGGCGGGAACUCAAAGGAGACUGCCGGUGAUAAACCGGAGGAAGGUGGGGAUGACGUCAAGUCAUCAUGGCCCUUACGAGUAGGGCUACACACGUGCUACAAUGGCGCAUACAAAGAGAAGCGACCUCGCGAGAGCAAGCGGACCUCAUAAAGUGCGUCGUAGUCCGGAUUGGAGUCUGCAACUCGACUCCAUGAAGUCGGAAUCGCUAGUAAUCGUAAAUCAGAAUGUUACGGUGAAUACGUUCCCGGGCCUUGUACACACCGCCCGUCACACCAUGGGAGUGGGUUGCAAAAGAAGUAGAUAGCUUAACCUUCGGGAGGGCGUUUACCACUUUGUGAUUCAUGACUGGGGUGAAGUCGUAACAAGGUAGGCGUAGCGAG
rnacentral:rRNA from 1 species